UACGUAGGGGGCAAGCGUUGUCCGGAAUCAUUGGGCGUAAAGCGCGCGUAGGCGGCCCUGUAAGUCCGCUGUGAAAGUCAAAGGCUCAACCUUUGAAAGCCGGUGGAUACUGCAGGGCUAGAGUCCGGAAGAGGCGAGUGGAAUUCCUGGUGUAGCGGUGGAAUGCGCAGAUAUCAGGAGGAACACCGGUGGCGAAGGCGGGUCUCUGGGCAGUAACUGACGCUGAGGAGCGAAAGCGUGGGGAGCGAACAGG
rnacentral:rRNA from 1 species